AAGAGAUCAUGCCCUCACGGGUAGACCUCCCACCCUGUGUAUUAUACCUUUGUUGCUUUGGCAGGCCCGCCCCCCGGGGCACUCGGCUCCGGCUGAGCAGCGCCUGCCAGAGGACCCCAACCCUAAUGUUUACGUGUCGUCUGAGUACUAUAUAAUAAGUUA
rnacentral:misc_RNA from 1 species